ensembl:lncRNA
GAGAAGAAAGGUAAAGAGAAAAGAAGAAAAAAGCCAAGUGAAAAAGUAAAGAAUAACUCAAAGGAAGGAGUGGAUGGCAAGAAAUACAGAGAAAGCAAUGCAUAGCAGAGCAAAGGAAAGCAAGGCAAAAUAGCAGCCAAAGCCACGAGAAUCAAGAAGUCAGUGAAGAGCAGGAAAGGAAUGGAGGACUCUGGCCAGAGCUGUGCCCCUGCUUGCCACAGGAGCUGCGCGGGAGGAGAAGAAUGUGGGCCAAAAGAGCAAAGGAAAGCAAGGCAAAAUAGCAGCCAGAGCCACGAGAAUCAAGAAGUCAGUGAAGAGCAGGAAAGAAGAAAAAAGCCAAGUGAAAAAGUAAAGAAUAACUCAAAGGAAGGAGUGGAUGGCAAGAAAUACAGAGAAAGCAAUGCAUAGCAGAGCAAAGGAAAGCAAGGCAAAAUAGCAGCCAAAGCCACGAGAAUCAAGAAGUCAGUGAAGAGCAGGAAAGGAAUGGAGGACUCUGGCCAGAGCUGUGCCCCUGCUUGCCACAGGAGCUGCGCGGGAGGAGAAGAAUGUGGGCCAAAAGGAAUGGAGGACUCUGGCCAGAGCUGUGCCCCUGCUUGCCACAGGAGCUGCGCGGGAGGAGAAGAAUGUGGGCCAAAAGGUAAGAGGAGCUCCUUUGGGUUCUGGGCUUGAAGCAAAGCUGAGAAGCCAUGCCCGGGAGGAGGUGUGGGUAGCUACAGGCCAGCUUGCUAUCUCCCCAAGAGAUGAGGUGUGUGGGCUAGGCACCGGGCAGGAGUGCUGGCCAGAAGCAAGCAUCUCUGUGGAGGAAGGCAAAGGGCGGAGGAGGUUCAAGGGUAGCUACCG